rnacentral:rRNA from 2 species
CCUACGGGAGGCAGCAGUGAGGAAUAUUGGUCAAUGGGCGAGAGCCUGAACCAGCCAAGUAGCGUGAAGGAUGACUGCCCUAUGGGUUGUAAACUUCUUUUAUAAAGGAAUAAAGUCGGGUAUGGAUACCCGUUUGCAUGUACUUUAUGAAUAAGGAUCGGCUAACUCCGUGCCAGCAGCCGCGGUAAU